CAGCUCUCCAGACUCCAGUGUUUCUCUGGGUUCCUGUGGUGGGGGUGGGGGCUUUCCUGACUGUUGGAGCUCUUCUAGUCACCAUCUCCUGCACACUGAAGAGGAGAUCCACAGGAGGAAGUGAUGCCACAGCAGACACACAGUGACACGUUCACAUCUCUUCAGAGAGACGCUCAGCCCUCCGUGUAUCAGACCAUCCGAGGGAGAAAACUACCAUAGAACCUGGACUGAAAAUAAACACCACAGAACCUGGACUGAAGAGAACCAUCACAGGACCUGGCCUGAAGAGAACUAACACAUUGCUAUAAUAUCUAGAAUGUUUUCCAGUAAAUUAGCUUUAAAGAGAUAGUUCACCCAAAUGACAAAAUGGCACAUUGGUUUCCUUACCCUGUAAGCAGUCUAUGAACAUGGUAUGACAGCAAUCCAUGCUUUGGUUUAGUUUCCCCUGGUACGGUUUCCACUUGCUAAUGUUUUAGCAUUUGUGGCACAAAUCCCAUUCAAGUCAUGCGACCAAUAUUAGCAUUUUUCAUCCAAAAGUAUAAAAAGCAAUGUUAAUCUCAACAAAGUCUCUUAUAGAUGAUUUGAACAUGAUGUGAGAAUGUUAAUAUGUGAUAUAUUAACAUCGGUCCCAUGACUUGAAUUUUUUUUGGUUUCAAAUGCUAUAAUUUUAUGUAAAUGUGGGAGUGUUUGAAAUUGCAGCCAACUUUUUAGGCGAGUCGAGAUCUACAAAUUAACUUGCAUGAUAAAUAACUACUCAAUAUUAUUUAUAGAUCAGUCAGUCACAAUUUACCCAUCAUACAUCACAGUUUUGAUGCUCUCGAACACUGUCUGUGUGACUGAGGAAGGAAGCCCUCUCUGCAUCAGCUUCUUGGUCCCUAACAUAGAGUUGGAUAGAGGGUACAUCUAUGCAUCUUUGUCAUGACAGCUUCUGUAACAGAAUGGGAAGUGCCAUUGAGGGCUUUUUCCAUUUUAAAAUACUUAAUGUCUUCUUCUUCAACUUCCAUAAGUUUACUGACAGUUGGUAAACCAACUGAAAUGGUGUAUUCAAUGGCUUUAGCCAUGCUAAAACAGGCUUUGAAGCAAGCGCGCCCUCUAUUAAACUCUAUGGACACUGACUCAUUCAAAGUUUUAUCACCCACAGAUCUCAAACUUCACACUCAGUGUGUUUAUUUAGACUGACAGUAAGUUGACUUACAACACGUCUACCCUUCACUCUGUAAGUAUGCUUGACGAUAAAUUAAAAUAUGUAUAUUUUCUAAUUUGUUUGUAAACAUGAACUCUUGAAUACUGUUUUGUGCAUGGCAAUGCUAUUGGAAUGUAUGUUGUUUUGUUUUUCUGUUAAGUACAGUAUACUCUGUAGAUGUAUUUCUGCAUAUUAAUCUGAUACAGUAUUGUACAUGUGGUUUCAUAUAUAAUACUUUUGCAUGCUAUUUUAAGGACCGACAGCAAUAGAUUGUUGUGGAGACUUGUUUGAAAAUGUCCUAAAGUAAGACUAAGUGUAAUAGUGAUUGGGUGUAUGCUUCAUAAGAGCUUUAGGAGUAAUAUUAACAUGAGACACAGUGAUGGUGGGUUGUGAUUAGGAUAUUAUUAGGAUGGUGCGGUAAUGUUGAGAUGCCAGUAGGGAGAGCUCUAGUCUAGAACACUGCAGUAAUGUUGAGAUGCCAGUAGAGAGAGCUCUAGUCUA